GCAGAACGCGAAGAACCUUACCAGGACUUGACAUGGAGGGGACCGGACGAGAGAUCGUUCUUCUUCCGCAAGGAAGCCCCUCACACAGGUGCUGCAUGGCUGUCGUCAGCUCGUGUCGUGAGAUGUUGGGUUAAGUCCCGCAACGGGCGCAACCCUCGUUUCUAGUUGCCAUCAUUCAGUUGGGCACUCUAGAGAGACUGCCGCGAAUAACGCGGAGGAAGGUGGGGACGACGUCAAGUCAUCAUGGCCCUUACGUCCUGGGCUACACACGUGCUACAAUGGGCGUCACAGAGGGUCGCAAUAGCGUAAGCUGGAGCCAAUCCCCAAAAACGUCCUCAGUUCAGAUCGAGGUCUGCAACCCGACCUCGUGAAGGCGGAAUCGCUAGUAAUCGCGGAUCAGAACGCCGCGGUGAAUACGUUCCCGGGUCUUGUACACACCG
rnacentral:rRNA from 1 species